GACGAACGCUGGCGGCGUGCCUAAUACAUGCAAGUCGAGCGAUGAUUAAAGAUAGCUUGCUAUUUUUAUGAAGAGCGGAGAACGGGUGAGUAACGCGUGGGAAAUCUGCCGAGUAGCGGGGGACAACGUUUGGAAACGAACGCUAAUACCGCAUAACAAUGAGAAUCGCAUGAUUCUUAUUUGAAAGAAGCAAUUGCUUCACUACGUGAUGAUCCCGGGUUGUAUUAGCUAGUCGGUAGUGUAAAGGACUACCAAGGCGAUGAGAAAUAGCCGACCUGGGAGGGUGAUCGGCCACACUGGGACUGAGACACGGCCCAGACUCCUACGGGAGGCAGCAGUAGGGAAUCUUCGGCAAUGGGGGCAACCCUGACCGAGCAACGCCGCGUGAGUGAAGAAGGUUUUCGGAUCGUAAAACUCUGUUGUUAGAGAAGAACGUUAAGUAGAGUGGAAAAUUACUUAAGUGACGGUAUCUAACCAGAAAGGGACGGCUAGCUACGUGCCAGCAGCCGCGGUAA
rnacentral:rRNA from 1 species